rnacentral:rRNA from 1 species
UACGAAGGGGGCUAGCGUUGCUCGGAGUCCCUGGGCGUAAAGAGCGCGCAGACGGCGUUUUAAGUCGGGGGUGAAAGCCUGUGGCUCAACCACAGAAUGGCCUUCGAUACUGGGACGCUUGAGUAUGGUAGAGGUUGGUGGAACUGCGAGUGUAGAGGUGAAAUUCGUAGAUAUUCGCAAGAACACCGGUGGCGAAGGCGGCCAACUGGACCAUCACUGACGCUGAGGCGAGAAAGCGUGGGGAGCAAACAGG